rnacentral:rRNA from 1 species
UCGAUGGAGAGUUUGAUCCUGGCUCAGGACGAACGCUGGCGGCGUGCUUAAUACAUGCAAGUCGAACGAGGUCCAUCCGGUGGCAACACCGGUGAAGACCUAGUGGCGAACGGGUGAGUAGCA